AGAGUUUGAUCCUGGCUCAGGAUGAACGCUGGCGGCGUGCUUAAUACAUGCAAGUCGAACGGAGAGUUAGCAAUAGCUCUUAGUGGCGAACGGGUGAGUAACGCGUUGGUGACCUGUCCCGAAGAUGGGGAUAACAGUUCGAAAGGACUGCUAAUACCCGAUGUGGUUACGAGGGUUAGAGGCCUGGUAACUGAAGGAGCGAUCCGCUUCGGGAGGGGCCUGCGUCCCAUCAGCUAGUUGGUAGGGUAAAGGCCUACCAAGGCAGAGACGGGUAGGGGGCCUGAGAGGGUGACCCCCCACACUGGCACUGAAACACGGGCCAGACACCUACGGGUGGCAGCAGUAGGGAAUAUUGCACAAUGGGCGAAAGCCUGAUGCAGCAACGCCGCGUGCGCGAUGAAGGCCUUCGGGUUGUAAAGCGCUUUUCGGGGAGAUGAGGAAGGACAGUAUCCCCGGAAUAAGGCUCGGCUAACUACGUGCCAGCAGCCGCGGUAAAACGUAGGAGCCAAGCGUUAUCCGAAUUCACUGGGCGUAAAGCGUGUGCAGGCGGCACCAUAAGUUGGAUGUGAAAUCUCCUGGCUCAACUGGGAGAGGCCGUUCAAUACUGUGGAGCUCGAGGGCAACAGAGGGAGGUGGAAUUCCCGGUGUAGUGGUGAAAUGCGUAGAUAUCGGGAGGAACACCAGUGGCGAAAGCGGCCUCCUGGGUUGCACCUGACGCUCAGACACGAAAGCUAGGGGAGCGAACGGGAUUAGAAACCCCGGUAGUCCUAGCCGUAAACGAUGUAGACUUGGUGUCAGAGGGGUAAAAGCCUUUGGUGCCGAAGCUAACGCGAUAAGUCUACCGCCUGGGGACUACGGCCGCAAGGUUAAAACUCAAAGGAAUUGAUGG
rnacentral:rRNA from 1 species